AUGCAAGUCCGCCGGGCCAGAGGGGGUCAAGGAGGAGCUGUGCAGGCCACUGGAGCUUCUCCUCGGGGAUCUCUGGUGGUGGGCGAAGGACCACCCGGAUCUCCCCGCGCUGGUGGAGGUGGUAAUGGACCUCGGCCACACCCGCUCGCCCUCUUCCCUUCAGGAGAUAUCAUCCUCUCCCACCACCUCCCUCAUAAUCCCUUGGCACCGACACGAUCACAUAUUGGGUCGUUGUUCUCUGCAAACAUGAGCAGUUCUCGGUGCACCCAAGCGGCGCUGCCGAGCGCAGCCUUCAAUGCCUCCAGUGGAUGUUGCCGCGCUCAGCUCAGGGGAGAGCGGUCGCAUCCCACCGCCACAUCGGCUCCAGGCGAAAGCCACGCCGCCGGGUCCCCCCACGCACCACCUCCUGCAGGUCUUCAUCCGUUAGGGGCCUUCAUCCUUCCGCUGGUCCACUUGUUGCACGGACGCAUCGGCUCAGGUUAG
rnacentral:rRNA from 1 species